AUGCCCUUCCUGACAUUUCCUCCCAAGGAAACCCAAGUCCUCCGUCAGGGUCCACCCAAAUGUCCACACUCUCUGGUAGCCUGCCCAGCCCCAGAGGCUCCCUUGAGCUCCCUUCCCCCAUUAGAGCCUACAGAGGCAGUGCUGCCCAGCAGACAUCUCGGCUGGGAGUCAAACAGAGCAAGGCUAUUUUGGUCCCUCUCUCCACUCUAUGUGACCCUGAAAUGUGCCCUGGCCUUAGGAAACAUUCAGCUACAUCAGAGAACGCAAGUCAAGGAAGUUGCUGCCCAGAAACCAAGUGAGGACAUUUACAAGAACCGGCAGCAGCAGCAGCAGCAGCCAGCAGCAGAAACUGGAUUUGCUUUUUCACCAGAGGAUCCAGAUUUCCCUGUGGCCUCGCAAACAAAAAAGAAGGAAGACGGAGCAGCACAGUCAUCCCUUUGUGAAAAAGGCAUUCAGGCCUUGCUCCUCCCUGCUGAUGAAUGGCCACUCUGCUCCUAGAGGCACACCUGUCCUGAAGACACCCGGUUCUCAUGCUCUUCUCUGCAGCACCUGAAUUGGGCAUUCCUGGGUAAAGCAGUUUAAGUUACUUUCACUUUUAUCCACCUUGUUUCCAUUAUUUCAACCAUGCAUGUCCCUUGUGUAUGUAGGAUAAAGGUGUCUAAGAAUAAAGGUCCAUGAUUUAAAGUUUUUUCCUCUUCUUUCCCUGUCCUGACCACCUGAUCAUAAACUUGUAGAAAUAAAGUGGAUCUCAUGUUGUGUAUCUUUCGAUGCAUCUAGAGAGAUGGUUAUAUUCAUAUAAAUAAACGGGCACAUCCAGCACAUUAUUUCUAGUUGUCGUCUGCUAAUAAGUUUACAUCUGGUAAAUGCCAGUGUUUCAUUAAAUGGCUGCAUUGCACAUGAGUCAAUCUGUGUGACAAA
rnacentral:lncRNA from 1 species